UUCCCGAUUUUAAGGGAGUUAAUGGUUUAUUUUGGUUGCUGUUUCAUUAGCAUUAAGAAUAAGCUGUUGGUAGUGAAAUGUUAUUCGUCUUUAGUGGUUUCUGGUUUUUCAAGAAAUGAAUUUAAUUCAUGCAUCUCGUUUAGAUUUUUGUUGUUGUUUAUAUGUAUCUUUACUUGAUGUUAAUAUUAAGGGGGAUUAGCUCCUUAUUUUAUUUUUAUAAUUUUUGUGUGAAUUUAGUUUUGUGGAUUUUAUAGUGAUUUUCAAUUUGAUUAUGUUAAAGUUUUAUUUUUCUUCUUCUUUAUUUUUGGUUUAUUUAUUUUGUUUAUUGGAAUGUUUCCUUUAUUUUCUAUUGGAUUGUAAUUAUUGUGGAAUUAGUAAAUUUGUUUGUUGCGUUGUUUUGUAUUUUUGUUUAAUUUCUUUUGAGGAAUUAGGCAAAUAUUUGUGUCCGCCUGUUUAACAAAAACAUCUUUUCUUGUUAGUUUUUGAAGUAUGGCCUGCCCACUGACUUACGUUGAAGGGCCGCGGUAUUUUGACCGUGCAAAGGUAGCAUAAUCAUUAGUUCUUUAAUUGUGAUCUGGAAUGAAUGGCUUGACGAGACACGAGCUGUCUUAGGUUUGAAUAUUUUAUUGAACUUGGUUUUUGAGUUAAAAUUCUUAAAUGUUUUUAUGGGACGAGAAGACCCUAUAGAGUUUGACAUAUUGAUCUAUUUAUUUGUUUGGUUGUUCGUUUUAUUUUAGUGAGUGGGUCUAUUUGUUUUGUUGGGGUGAUGAGAGGAAUAUAGUUUAACUCCUCUUGGUUUAUGGUUAUAUUGAUUUAUAUUUAUUUGAUC
rnacentral:rRNA from 1 species